rnacentral:rRNA from 1 species
UAUUGGACAAUGGGCGAAAGCCUGAUCCAGCAAUGCCGCGUGAGUGGUGAAGGCCUUAGGAUUGUAAAGCUCUUUUACCCGGGAUGAUAAUGACAGUACCGGGAGAAUAAGCUCCGGCUAACUCCGUGCCAGCAGCCGCGGUAAUACGGAGGGAGCUAGCGUUGUUCGGAAUUACUGGGCGUAAAGCGCGCGUAGGCGGUUUUUUAAGUCAGAGGUGAAAGCCCAGUGCUCAACACUGGCCCUGCCUUUGAAACUGGAAAACUUGAAUCUUGGAGAGGUCAGUGGAAUUCCGAGUGUAGAGGUGAAAUUCGUAGAUAUUCGGAAGAACACCAGUGGCGAAGGCGACUGACUGGACAAGUAUUGACGCUGAGGUGCGA